rnacentral:rRNA from 1 species
UGGGGAAUUUUGGACAAUGGGCGAAAGCCUGAUCCAGCAAUGCCGCGUGUGUGAAGAAGGCCUUCGGGUUGUAAAGCACUUUUGUCCGGAAAGAAAUCCUUGGCUCUAAUACAGUCGGGGGAUGACGGUACCGGAAGAAUAAGCACCGGCUAACUACGUGCCAGCAGCCGCGGUAAUACGUAGGGUGCAAGCGUUAAUCGGAAUUACUGGGCGUAAAGCGUGCGCAGGCGGUUUGCUAAGACCGAUGUGAAAUCCCCGGGCUCAACCUGGGAACUGCAUUGGUGACUGGCAGGCUAGAGUAUGGCAGAGGGGGGUAGAAUUCCACGUGUAGCAGUGAAAUGCGUAGAGAUGUGGAGGAAUACCGAUGGCGAAGGCAGCCCCCUGGGCCAAUACUGACGCUCAUGCACGAAAGCGUGGGGAGCAAACAGGAUUAGAUACCCUGGUAGUCCACGCCCUAAAACGAUGCCAACUGGUUGUUGGGGAUUCAUUUCCUUAGUAACGU